UACAGAGGUCUCAAGCGUUGUUCGGAUUCAUUGGGCGUAAAGGGUGUGUAGGUGGCGCCGUAAGUCGGGUGUGAAAUUUCGGAGCUUAACUCCGAAACUGCAUUCGAUACUGCGGUGCUUGAGGACUGGAGAGGAGAGUGGAAUUCCUGGUGUAGCGGUGAAAUGCGCAGAUAUCAGGAAGAACACCCGUGGCUAAGGCGGCUCUCUAGUACGGUACUGACGCUGAGACGCGAAAGCGUGGGGAGCGAACAGG
rnacentral:rRNA from 1 species